rnacentral:tRNA from 1 species
UAUACUUAGGUGUUUAUGCAUAUAAAUUUUUGAAAUUUAAGGAUUAGAUGAUUUCUUGAAGUGUAA